rnacentral:pre_miRNA from 2 species
UGGCAAGAUGUUGGCAUAGCUGUUAAUGUUUAUGGGCCUGCUAUGCCUCCAUAUUGCCAUU